CUCCGCCCCCGACGACCAGGAAGUGAAGGAUGUUGUUUACUGCGAAAAAACAAACUUUGACGACAAGCAGCCUCUCCAUGCAGGAGUGAACAACAAUUUGCCGUUUCGUAAAGUCGCCAAAACGUCACCGUGGAGUUACUGAGUCUGUUUAGCUGAUUGGAGAGCCAGCUUCCGCAGCUAGUGGGUCCAUGACGAUGACUUCUGUUUUGUUUGAUCAGCCGUUUUACUGCCCUGUUACAGGCACCGUUUGGAAACAAUCAAGGUGUUCCCAUACCUGGUGAGCAGACCAGUUCCAAGCCAAGGAUAGAGGAAGCUGUAUGAAUAGGAUUUGUCCAUGUGAACCGGAUUGCCCACCACUGGCUGCAACAAAAAAACACAACAGUAAAAAAGUAGUAGUAGUUGUCAGUAGUAGUAGUAGUAGUAGUAAUAGGUGAUAUACUGUAGUAGUAGUCGGUGAUACAGUGGUAGUAGUAGUUGUCAGUAAUAGUAGUUGUCAGUGGUAGUAGUAGUAGUAGUAGUAGUAGUAGUAGUAGUAGUAGUAAUAGGUGAUAUACUGUAGUAGUAGUCGAUGAUACAGUGGUGGUAGUAGUAGUAGUAGUAAUAGGUGAUAUACUGUAGUAGUAGUCUGAUACAGUGGUGGUAGUAGUUGUAGUAGUAGUAAUAGGUGAUAUACUGUAGUAGUAGUCGAUGAUACAGUGGUGGUAGUAGUAGUAGUAAUAGGUGAUAUACUGUAGUAGUAGUCGGUGAUACAGUGGUAGUAGUAGUAGUAAUAGGUGAUAUACUGUAGUAGUAGUCGGUGAUACAGUGGUAGUAGUAGUUAGUAGUAGUUGUCAGUAAUAGUAGUUGUCAGUGGUAGUAGUAGUCAGUA